AUUGAACGCUGGCGGCAUGCUUUACACAUGCAAGUCGAACGGCAGCGCGGGCUUCGGCCUGGCGGCGAGUGGCGAACGGGUGAGUAAUGCAUCGGAACGUGCCCAGUAGUGGGGGAUAGCCCGGCGAAAGCCGGAUUAAUACCGCAUACGACCUGAGGGUGAAAGCGGGGGACCGAAAGGCCUCGCGCUAUUGGAGCGGCCGAUGUCGGAUUAGCUAGUUGGUGGGGUAAAGGCUUACCAAGGCGACGAUCCGUAGCUGGUUUGAGAGGACGACCAGCCACACUGGGACUGAGACACGGCCCAGACUCCUACGGGAGGCAGCAGUGGGGAAUUUUGGACAAUGGGGGCAACCCUGAGCCAGCCAUGCCGCGUGCGGGAAGAAGGCCUUCGGGUUGUAAACCGCUUUUGUUCGGGAAGAAAUCCUCUGGGCUAAUACCCCGGGGGGAUGACGGUACCGGAAGAAUAAGCACCGGCUAACUACGU
rnacentral:rRNA from 1 species